rnacentral:lncRNA from 1 species
AGCUGCCUCGCCGCUCGCUCCGCCCCUUCUCGCUCUGCCUGGUGCCGCCGCCGGCGCCCCAAGCUGCACCCAAUCUCCUGCAAUCCCGCUCCACGCGAUUCCCACCAUGCAAGCGAAGUCAUCCUAAGACUUGGCAGCCCAUUCUGUCUCACAGGCUUGUUGAGCAGGAGCAGAAGGGGAGCUGGAGCACUAGCAUCACCCAGAAGAACAGCAGCAGUCCAGCAAAGGCACUGCAAAUUCAGUCGUCUGUGAGAGCAAACUCUCAGAAGCGGGCCAUGGGCUGUGUGCUAGCCCUAAACAGGAGAAUCCCCACAAAAGAGACUCCUCUCUCAAUAGUGAACAAAUAUGGAAUCUGAAGUUUCAUUUCAGAAGAAGCUGACUUGAAUACUGAGUUGGUACACUUCCUGUUGAUAAGGUCUUCUAACCCAAGUUAGGAAAGGCACAUGCCACAGGUAAGUAUGGACAGAACAGAGGAGUUCUGGGCCUUGACAAUGGAGAGGUGGACGGAGGUGACAGAGGUGACAGGGGCAGGUCAGAGCCCAGCCUGAGAGUUUUCACAAACUGCAAGGAAGCACUGAG